AUAACUGUGCUAGAUGCUAUCCCUCUAGUGGGUUCUACAGUGUAAGAUGUGGUCAUGGUGGCGUGGCCAUGUGUCUAUACGGGCCACGGAUGGGUGAUGGGUCACCAUUAACAGGCUUGGGUGCAAGUGGUCAGGUCUUGCAUGUGCUUUGAACAAACGAAAUCCCGGCUGCAGGGAAAUUUGUACCAACAACCAACGGCAA
rnacentral:lncRNA from 1 species